GACGAACGCUGGCGGCGUGCUUAACACAUGCUAGUCGAACGGAAAGGCCUGCUUUCCCUUGUGGAUUGCGGGUACUCGAGUGGCGAACGGGUGAGUAACACGUGAGUGAUCUGCCCCCAACUUGGGUAUAAGCCUGGGAAACUGGGUCUAAUUCCCGAUAGGACUGCAGGGUGGUGCCUGUGGUGGAAAACGAUUUUCUAGUGGUUGGGGAUGAGCUCGCGGCCUAUCAGCUUGUUGGUGGGGUAAUGGCCUACCAAGGCGGCGACGGGUAGCCGGCCUGAGAGGGUGGACGGCGACAUUGGGACUGAGAUACGGCCCAGACUCCUACGGGAGGCAGCAGUGGGGAAUAUUGCACAAUGGGCGGAAGCCUGAUGCAGCGACGCCGCGUGGGGGAUGACGGCCUUCGGGUUGUAAACUCCUUUCGACCGCGAGGAAGCCACCUGGUUGGAAGGGUGGUGACGGUAGUGGUAGAAGAAGCACCGGCUAACUACGUG
rnacentral:rRNA from 1 species